rnacentral:misc_RNA from 1 species
GAUGAAGAACGUAGCGAAAUGCGAUACUUGGUGUGAAUUGCAGAAUUCAGUGAAUCAUCGAGUCUUUGAACGCACAUUGCGCCCCCUGGUAUUCCGGGGGGCAUGCCUGUCCGAGCGUCAUUGCUGCCCUCAAGCACGGCUUGUGUGUUGGGCCCCCGUCCCCGGUUUCCCCCGGGGACGGGCCCGAAAGGCAGCGGCGGCACCGCGUCCGGUCCUCGAGCGUAUGGGGCUUUGUCACCCGCUCUGUAGGCCCGGCCGGCGCCAGCCGACACCCAACUUUAUUUCUAAGGUUGACCUCGGAUCAGGUAGGGAUACCCGCUGAACUUAAGCAUAUCAAUAAGCGGAGGA